CGAUCCAGCAAUGCAGCAACGGGAAUUUACAUUCCCUGGGUUCGUCUUCCUACGAACAUCAUUCUCCCAUUAGAAAGAAAACAUGGCCGACGCACAUCAAACGACUCUGUCAUGCAAGAGCUCAUCAUCGGCGGCGACGAAGCUUCCACUCGCCUCGCGCUCACCUCGCUAUCACCAACUCAAACUCUCGACUCCCGAAUCCUCAGGAAAUCUCUCCUAAUUCCUCCCUAAACACACGAACCGAAUCAAAAUCUCUCACGAGUCUUAAACAAAAAUUAACAAUCUGAUCCUCAUAUGAAGGUAAUGGAGUCUACAAGCUUGGUAUCAUCACUCAUCUAAUCAAGUCUUAUAUAACAGUAACAAACGUGAGUCAAAAAUAGGAGAGUUUCUAUGCACCUUCGACGUUGAUGAUGAAGCACACGACGAACGACAUUUGGAUAUUAUUCUGGUACCGUGUGAUUGGUGAAAUCACGAAGCUUACUGAUGUAACGUACGCCUCAGAAUGAACCUUGAAUUCUGGUGUGGAUAAAAGUAGCUAACGUAUUCGUCGAAGAAGACAAUCGACGUGACGACGACGUUAUCGGACGUGACUCUCAGGUAUGCUCUCGAACAUUCUCAUCCUGUUCUCCGUUCUUCUUAUUUCUUUCUGUGAUGCUUCGAUCUUCUCUUCUUCUUGUGAUUCUGUUUUUUUUUUGUGAAUUUUGUAAAAUUGGUGAUUGAGCGAUUCAAACUGGUUCACAACUCCGCAGUUGCUUUCCCAUUCUGUUAUGUCUUGAAGGCCAACUUUUUUGGUUCUGUUAUUAUGUGAACACAAUGUUGUUGAGAGAGGAUGGAGAAGAAGGUUGAGAAAAAUGGUUAUGGAAGUUUGUUGCAGGGAUUGCAGAAGAAGCUUGGUUGAAGGCUUUGCAGAACGAAGGGGAUAGAAGGUGAUUAAAAAAAUGGAAUGAGAGAGCCUUCUGAAAUGUGAAGGUUUUUAUUUAUAGCCUUUUCCAAAAUCCUCUUCUCUCCUUCUUCUAUUAUGAAUUCAGUUAGAAGUUGUUAUUUGGGAUGAGAAUUGGUUAGAGUUUUGUUAGGCUUGUAUUAGAUUUUUGUUAGAGCUUUUUGGAUAAGUUUUCUGUUAGUGAUGUAUUGUGUCGUUAACUGAGUUUUUUCACCUUUUUGGCUUAUGGUUUUACAAGUUUUGGCGUUGCCGUUUACCGGUUUUGCAGUGUAUUUCAUGUUGCAGCGACUUGCGUUUUGAUUCUAUCUGCAACGCCUUUUGAAUUUGUUGCGUGUUGUAGCUUUUGCUAUGUGUUGGUUGUUCUAGUUGUUGGCAGCUUAUGUUGGUUCAAUGAUGUAGCUUUAGAAUAUGGAGUUUUAUAUUGUUGCUUCUG